ACCGACGUUGGAAAUUUAGAUAGGCAGAACGGAUGUAUUAUAAAAAUCCGAUACUGAUUGGAAUUUUUGCGAAAAAUAUCUACGUAUUAUUGGAAAAAUCUGAAUUCAAAGAGGAGUAUAUUCGUUUAUUUUUUCUUCGCAUUUUUUUUAGUCUUUUCGAAUGUAGUAGAUAGUAAACUGUGUUUGUAGAAUGUAGAAUGUGAACUGUAAUGUAGUAAUUAAUUGUGAAAUUACAAUGCACUAUGUGAUAUUGAAAAAAUUGCACGGAUUAUUAUAUGUAUGAUGUAUAAUAUAUAAAUGUUAAAUUCAAAAAGCUGUAUAUCCAUUACGAACACGCGCGUCAAACUCUUAAAUAGGUUUCAUUUAUACGUGAUUACUUAUAAUCAAUUAUAAUAAGCUAAAAUUCUAUAAACGAAACGGCAUUUUACUUUCAUUAACUGUUUUUCGUGAAUAUAAAAACGAACGAAAAAAUUUGCGGUAGGUUACUGUAUAUAUUAUAUAUUAUACAGUUGAUCAGGCGCAGUUGACACCCUAAAUUAUUUACUUCCUUAACGGUCAACAUGAGAUCGGCGCCU
rnacentral:misc_RNA from 1 species